rnacentral:lncRNA from 1 species
AACUUUUCAGAACCGUCACUUGACUCGUUUCUUUUUGUGCUUAAAAUCAAUGACCAUUGUUCUUUUUCCAUUCAGUUUUUUAUCAUCUUUUCUUCAUAUUUCUCCGUAGUUCUUUUUCUUUAUGGAAUAUAUCAUUUUCCGUUUUCACCACCGUUAAACCUAAUUGAGGAUCUCUAAUACUGAUGCCUUUGACUGCCGGUUGUAAUACACGCGCACACAAACUUUCUCCCCUAACUCACUUUCUCGGUUUCAUCGAGUGUGGAGGCGCUGCAAUUUGUCCGGUGACCUAGACGGCGAUGGUAGCGUUCUCCCCCUCCCGGACAUCGUACAUCGUGACGGAAUAGCUAUUGUCGGCGGUGAUUUGAAGUGUAUCGGAAGGGCCUUGCUGCGAGAGCGACUUGCUCUGGUGACUCGUCGGGAAGACGACGUUUGGUCUCCGUUAGAGGACGGUGGGGGCACUGUCGGAAUCUCGCUUGUCAGUCAUAGGUGAUGUAUUUCUUACCAAAAUUUUUGUUCGUCCAUGAUUGAUAGAGAUGCCGUUUAACUGAUUGCACAAAUUGUAGAUAUGUGUAGUCAAACGAGAGUAAAUAGAUUGUAGAUUCUAGGUAUGGUUCUUAAUUAUUACUCUGAGAUACAGCGAUCGAUGCGUUUCAAUCAACAAAUGAGUUUUUGACUCGCUUUUGGGAGCAGAUUAAAUCGGGCAAGUUCCUCUUUCUUUUUGUAUCAUUGGUAUUUGCGAAAAAUUGGUCACAGUGAUAUUUUGUUUGGUAGGAGAAUUUUGUCUUGUCUGGUGUAGUGAAUAUCCACUCCAAUUUUCUUUUGGUCAUCUGUAGCUUUAGUUGACAAUAGCUAUCUUUUUUUCCAAAUCAUCUGUUUUCUUUGUUACUUAUUUUGUGGAACUUAACCUCGGGGGAAGUAAUUAUUCUCUUUUGAAGAUUGAAAGAACGUGUUCACAGAAUUUGUUAGAUUCCAAGUCUUAAUAAGACAGUCGUUGGUAAUACACGAGAGGUGCGCAUGAAUAUUCGUGAGUCUGUGAUAAACUCAUCAAGAUUAUUUGAACAUGAUGUAGCCUUCGUGAUAAAAAACUGAUAGUCUGCAAUCACACUUUGGAAACUUCAAUUGCUUUCUUUUUACUGGCUGUAGCAUCCGUACAACAAACGACAUUGUAAGCCUGGAGCUGCCUUAAGACCUUUGUUUAAAAUUUGCAGAUGUUGUCUCAUGGCAUUUUAAUUCAAAAAUUAUUGUACCAGGCUUAAAUAAAUGACUAACACGAUCUUGAACUAACCGUAUCAUAGCAAUUAUAUAAUUUUGUCUGCAGAAAAAAGUGAAAGGUGAAAUUAACAUUCUGAUAUGAUGAACAGAUCAAGUGUUGAUCAAUAAUAUAAUACGCAUCUAAAAUAUAUGCAACAUAUCAACAAGAGAAAUGGUCAUAGUAAUAUCCAGCAAAAAUAAUCGGUGGAAUUUGUAAUUUCGAAGAGAAGAGUACUAACUAAAUGCGGUGAUGUUAGUGAUUAAUAACUACUGCAUAUAAAAACUAAGCAUAAAACUGAAAAUAUCUCUAAAUUGAAAAUAAUACAUUUAGAGUUGACCGGUGGAAAGUUGUACUUCCAUGCAUGCCAAUACAUGAAAUUGGUUCUUAAGAAAGUCUAAUUUAAUGGUUUAAAUAUUUAGAAAAAUUCUCUAAGAUAAUUUUUAUUUAAGUUUUUGUCACAAGAAAAAUUAUCAAUGAAGAAAAUAACCAAAAAAAGUUUUAUUAAAAGGUAAAAUUAUAUUUUUACCUUUUGAUUAACUAAUCUAUACUUAGGGUUUAGAGUUAAGGGAUGGAGUUUUGGAGAUAGGAUUUCAAAUUUUAAAAAAUAAAAAAAUAAAUAUUAAAAUUUUCAAAAUAAAAAAAGGCUAUUUUGGUCAUUUUCUUUUUUGAUGGCUAUUUUGUGACAAAAACUUAAAAAUGACUAUUUGAGAUAAUUGUCCAAUUAUUUAUGUAGGAAUCAUAUUAGAAAUAAAAGGCAUUCAUUCAUCGAAAUAAUUUAUGUCUUCCAAUUGUUACUUUGUUUUUUUGUUAUUCUAUAAUAUAGUGUUCUUAAAAACAUAUUUAUUUUGGAGAACUCUAUGAAACACAUAUUUGGCACUCUAUUUCCGUUACAUAAUAUUUCAUGCAACCAUCGUUUUAUAUCUAAUCUUAAUUUAAUUUUCCUUCGUAUUUUAGAUUAGAAUAUGGAGAAAACUCACUUUUCAAUUUUAUUAGAUCAAUAUUCUCUAUAAGAAUUUUUAAGCUAAAUGUUUUAGAUUUAUUUUAAAUAUGAAUUGCUUACAUAGAGUUGAGAUUAGAAGACAUCCCUUCAUUUAAUUAGUUACAUCUCUUAGAACAAUCAUUUCAUUCGGUUAAAGUUUUUCAACGGUUUUGCCUUCGAAAAUUGUCACUACAAAUUGUAUAAAAAAUCUAUGAAAUUUGUAUGCCACUCAAUUUUUUAACAUUAUAUAUUUGCAUCAGUCAUCUGCUAUUUACUAUAUAUAUAUAUAUAUACAUAUCAAUUAAUUUGACCCAGAAAUGGGCAAUAGGAACAAUGCUUAUUGGUUACCCAGAAAAACUUUAUUAACUAAGUUACAACGAUUUACACAGUAAUCGUCUACUAUUUAAUAUUCGAUCAGUCAUAUUAUAGAGGUAAAAAUAUAUGUUGCAAUAAAAAAUCUUUAUAUCUAAAAAAUAUUUUCCAGUUAUAAUAAGGUCAAGAUUAAUUUUUAUUUAUAAUUGUGAAUGGCUUUUUUUUACAAAUUACUAUUUUUUCUAAAUCUUUUUUUGGGAGAUUAUUAAAAGACAACCACAAUUUUUUUGUUAUUCUUUUGAGUAGCUAAUAUUGUCAAUAUUUGAUAUUUUCCCAUAAAUUCCUAAAUUGAUCAGUAUUUUAAAAUAAAAAUAUAAUAAAAUUAAAAUAACUCAGACUAAUAUUCCAUAUGUGUAUAGUAUAUUUUGCAAACUUGUGUAUGGUAAAAAUAUAUAGUUAAUAAAUGUGGGAGAAAAAUGAAACAAGAAUAAUAAAUUUAUAUAAAAAUAAAAAAUUAUAAAAUAAAUAUAUUUUUAUUAAAUUAAACAGAUACAAAUUUUAGUAAAGAAUGGAUUAAAUAGUACUAUUACUAUUUUGAUGGCAUAAGAUCAUCUCCAAUGGAUUAUUCUAUUUUUUCUUGAAAAUAUAAUAACUUUAUAAUGGAGUUAGGUUCUUCUCCUAUAGUAUUCUAUUUUAAAAUGAAAUAGAGUGAUAAACAAAAACUAAAUGAAUUACUCUAUUUAUGGAACAAAUCUAUUUUUAGUCUAUUAUAGAGUGAAAAAGAGUAGGAUUACUUCAAACUCUAUUUUAGAGUGAAAUAUAAAGUGGAUUUAAAUAUAUUCUAAAAUAAAGGAUAUAAAGUAGAUUUAAAUAUAUUUAGUAUAAAGAAAUAUAUAAGAGCGUCUUCUGUCUCAUUCAGGUAGAUGCCUGAAAAGUGGAGAUUGAAGUCUAAAUCAAGAAAUCUAUAUUUUUCGAUAGAUGAAAGCAUACUCUGAAUUGAAUCUUUAGCGAGAAACAUUUUGAAACAGUGCCGUCAGUCAAUGAUAUGUUCCCGAAUACCAUCUAUUGGUUAAUGGAAUUAUGUUUUGUCAAUUUGCUUUAGUCUAUGGUUUGAUGGUUGCACAUACUGCAAAUACCAAUUAUGGGUAAAAAAAAUACACCAUGCCAAAACAAUUAUCAUGCAGAAUGCGAAUUAAGGAAUCCGCAAAGGCUAAUCAAAGAGGUUGACAUUCCUAAUAGUGAACACGAGAGAAGGUCGACCAAUCUUUGCCACUGUCUCAACCCGAUAUUUAUAAUAAAAAUGUUAAUUUAUUUUUUCUAAAUUCAGCAGCCAAUUUGUAGUUAAUUUUGUUACGUACAUCUUACAUCUCAUUCUUAUGUUAUUAAAUUGUUUUAUUUUAAACUAAUAUAUUUUUUUUUAUGAAACUAAUAUAUUCACUACUCAAAUCAAACGAAAUUUAAAAGUAUUAAAUAAAAAUAUACACAUUCUAUUAAUAUUAAAUAAUUUUUUAGUAAAGAAUUUGAUGUCCGCGUCGCGGAUUUGUUUCCUAGUUACUAUAAUAGAAUCCGCGCCAUGCGCAACUAAGUUUCAUUUUAAACAUUUAUACAGUUUACAGGUCACGUAAUUUCAUAUAUUAAACUAUGAAUGACACAGUCGGGUCACUUUCAUGUAUCAGUUUAAUGACAGUUUGGAAACAAUGGAAAACAAAACCAUAUCUCUUAAUGACACAGUUUAAGCGUAACUUUUAUGUAUCAGUUUAAGUUCUGAUAAUUUCAAUAUAUAUCUCAAUUUCAUGAAGGUUUAAUAAUGCUACACAUCCUAAGUUAGAGAUUAUGAAUUAUCUGUUGUCCAAAAAAGAGAUUAUGAAUUAUCGUUGUUUUUUGAAAAAUUUCGGACACUUUUAUAUUUUAAGUAUUUUCUAUGAGAUGAGUUUUCAUUUUCUAUCUUGCUAACUAAUUAAAAUAAAAAAAAAUCUCAUUUUAGUAUUAUAAUUUUCCAAACCAAAAGUUAUAUUUUACUUAUUUUUUGUUUAAGUUUUGCGUAAUUUUAACUUAAUUUUACUUAUAUUGAUUAUUAAAGUUUUGUCACAUCAAAGUUUUUGCAAUGAAAAAAUGUUUAUAAUAAAAUUUUAUUUAGAAGACAUAUUAAACUUUUGUAGUUAUAAUUUUAUGGUACUAUGGUAUAAGAUUUAUAUGAACUUACAAUUCUUUUUACCACAUUAUUAACCACUAAAAGAUCGAAUUUUUUUUUAUGCAUAUCUGCCAGACAUAGACGAUACUAGUUGGCAGGCAUGGCACGAAAACGAAAUGUCCUAAAGGGACAAUCCCCGUACGAUGACUGAGCGGAACGACAGGUUCUCAAUUCGGG